rfam:Stegodyphus mimosarum contig3164, whole genome shotgun sequence.
GCCUUCGGGGUGUAAUGGUCAGCACACUCGACUUGUAUUCGAGAGGUCUGAAGUUCGAGUCCUGACGAGAGCA